rnacentral:rRNA from 1 species
CGGACGGGUGAGCAACACGUGGAUAACCUACCUAUAAGACUGGGAUAACUUCGGGAAACCGGAGCUAAUACCGGAUAAUAUAUUGAACCGCAUGGUUCAAUAGUGAAAGACGGUUUUGCUGUCACUUAUAGAUGGAUCCGCGCCGCAUUAGCUAGUUGGUAAGGUAACGGCUUACCAAGGCAACGAUGCGUAGCCGACCUGAGAGGGUGAUCGGCCACACUGGAACUGAGACACGGUCCAG